AGCGUUACUGGAUCGGAUAGGAAUGUGAGAUUUUUCGUCGUUUAUGUAUAUAUAUAAAUUUAUUUUUACGUUCGACUUCUUCUUCUCUUUUAGUUUCACUGUAACAGGUUGCCGUUAGAACCGAAACUCAAUUCAUUUCCUACGAUGGAUUUUGUUACCACGAUCUUCUUGCCUUUAGAGUUUAAUAAUCGAGGAUGAUUCUAACGAUCCUCUCUGUGUGGGACUCGUGUGAUUUCGCAAGCCUUGCCCAAAGACGGGUAGUAUUUUACCAACAGUGGGAGGAGGAAUGCGAAGAUCGACGGGUGUUUUGAUAAUCGAAAACACCGUUUGCACAAGCCAACACAGCGAACGAUCCUUUGGUUAAAUUUCCGAAGGGAAAUUGUUCUCCUAUUUCUCUCUUACGAUCGCAUGCGACGGUGGCAAGAAUAUCGGUUAUUAGCAAUGCCGGUAUCUCUCUUAAUUUUCGAUUGACCCCGACGAUGUAUUUAAUAGUCCUCUCUGUGCGGGAUUUGUGUGAUUUCGCAAGCCUUGCCCAAAGACGGGCAAUAUUCUGCCAACAAUGGGAGGAGGAAUGCGAAGAUCAGUGGGUGGUUCAGUAGCUGAAAACACCGUUCGCACAAGCCGACACAGCGGACAACUCCUUUUUAUUUAAAGGUUAAACGAUGAUUCUAUCUUCGAAACCGUUCGCGAUCGAUGAUAGGAAGUUCUACUUCGAUUCUCGAGGGCAACGAAAUUAUCAGAGAAGAAGGAAAUUCUCAGAAUUAAUUCUCUUACCUUGAGGAGUAGGCGCUGUCUGGCGCUAUUUACCUCAGCUGCUGCGUUGGUCGUCGAAGUUUUUGCUGGGUUUAUUACUUGAACUCGAAUAUAGUUUACUAUCAACGUUUACUUUAUUUAUCUAUUUCGGUACGGACAGAACAAUUUACUGACUAGAUUAAUACCGCAAUUACAAUGCGCGUUCAAGAUAAAAUUUUCUUUUUCCUUGGUCGCGGCUCUCCUUUCUUGACCGAAAAACUAAGGACUCCGAAGCGCAAAAUACUAUACAAAAUUUCUAAAGAUGAGCGCAAUAACGAACGUAGUAACGGAAUGAUUAACAAAAGUGAACAAAAUAAUUAUAAACCGUAAUAACGAAGAUCGCAAUAAUAAUGAACAAAGAAUAAUAUAAUAAGAAUAUUCACCAGGAUGUUAAUGAUGAUCGAUAAUUGGUGGAUAGCAUCAGUACUUGGUUUCGUGAGUGGCGUACCAAUACUUUACAGUUCCUCUGUGCGGAUUGCUAUUCAUGUUCUUCCGUCCGUCGUUCAGAGAAUGGUUGAUGAGUUCGCCAUCAGUUCUGUACACACAUAUAAAAAUAAUUCUACUUAUUCGAUGCUGCGUCACUUACCUGGAUCAUUCCCACAACGUCGUCCAAUUCUUCGAUAUGCCUUGGAUACUUACUACGGUUGCCUUCAAUCGUCUUAUAUCUGUGGCUAUAAAGGGACGAUUGUUUUUCCCGUUGCUCUUCUGGCCAAUGUGUUCAAGACUGCAGAUUUUUCUGCCGGGAACAUGACGUGGUCCAGUAGUUGCAUCGAAGUCUUUUGGGUAUAUAUUCUGCUCGUGGCCAAUGACGAUGGUGCUGAGUAUCGCCACGUUUGGCGCACGUCCGGGUGGAGUUCCUUUACUUGUACUGGAAUGCAUUUGACUAUAUGGACCGCUUCUCCUACGAUCAAAGCCAUGUGUUUUUGGUUGUGGUGUAUGCAAAUUCAUCGGGCGGUAAGUUGCCAAGCUUAAAGUGUUCUCUAUUAGUUUCUUCUGUGUGGUGUAUCAUGGUAUAAUGUUGUCGUUUGUCGUUUCGCUUUCGAGUUUAUCAGAAAUAGGAAUAACCUUUUAUCAUCAUUAAUAUAUGUAUAUGUCGGAGAUGAAAGAACACCGGACCCUUUGGAAUUUUGGAUAAUCCCGCAACAUUGUAACCUAGAGUCUACUAUAGCUGUAAUUGAACAAUUGUAGUUAUUCAACCCGAUUGUAAUUGUUCGAGAGUUGUGAUAAUGAGCUUGGGCUCGAGGCGACAGUCAGUCGCCGAACGUAGCCGCGGUCACGGGAUGAACGCUUUGCCUAACAAAGGCAUGGAAUAAUUCUAUAGCUCUCCUUAAAAGAAAUAUUCGUGGCGACACGCGACAGUAAACAUUCCAUCGGUUUCUGUCCUGUGGCUCGCCACACGCAGACCCUAUUCUUCGAGUAAGAUGAUUGCCAGCGUCUCCGAAGUACAUGUUCAGCUAGCCUGAGGGCCCGUCAUAAAUCUUAGAAUUUAGUUGACUAAAGUCCUUCAAACAAACAGUCUUUGUCCUAGCUACGGGAAGAUAGGAGAGACCUAUUUUUCAACGAACGGCGUCUCCCACUAGCAACAUUCCCUCGAGGGCGGCUAGCAUCUUUUUCUAACCACCGAUAUGGAGAUUGACCAAUUAGCAGCAACGCCAAUUUCCCUUACUUUCUGAACGAAGGCUUUUCUCGACGAAUCCGAUGAUCUCGUGUCCUUAGACACACCCCAAUAUAGUUUUCCCCUGUGGCAUCAUCGGGACGGGAAGGUCAUUCUCGCUCGCGAUCUCAUCGAUUAAAGAGUAUCAUCUUCGCGAUCAGUGGUUAUUUCACGUUUUAACCAGACUUAGACUUUGUGAGUACGUUCUUUUGUUAUCCCGUUGGCCGCGGAUUCGUUAUUGAGCCCGGAACCAUCGUCGCGAGUGCCGAACCGCCGUGAUCAAUUGUCAAGACUGUAAUAAUUCUAUCAUUGCAAUAAACUACGCCUGUGUGUACCGUACCAAUGGCUAA